rnacentral:rRNA from 1 species
CAGUCGAGCGAUGGAUUAAGAGCUUGCUCUUAUGAAGUUAGCGGCGGACGGGUGAGUAACACGUGGGUAACCUACCCAUAAGACUGGGAUAACUCCGGGAAACCGGGGCUAAUACCGGAUAAUAUUUUGAACUGCAUAGUUCGAAAUUGAAAGGCGGCUUCGGCUGUCACUUAUGGAUGGACCCGCGUCGCAUUAGCUAGUUGGUGAGGUAACGGCUCACCAAGGCGACGAUGCGUAGCCGACCUGAGAGGGUGAUCGGCCACACUGGGACUGAGACACGGCCCAGACUCCUACGGGAGGCAGCAGUAGGGAAUCUUCCGCAAUGGACGAAAGUCUGACGGAGCAACGCCGCGUGAGUGAUGAAGGCUUUCGGGUCGUAAAACUCUGUUGUUAGGGAAGAACAAGUGCUAGUUGAAUAAGCUGGCACCUUGACGGUACCUAACCAGAAAGCCACGGCUAACUACGUGCCAGCAGCCGCGGUAAUACGUAGGUGGCAAGCGUUAUCCGGAAUUAUUGGGGCGUAAAGCGCGCGCAGGUGGUUUCUUAUGUCUGAUGUGAAAGCCCACGGCUCACCCGUGGAGGGUCAUUGGAAACUGGAGACUUGAGUGCAGAAGAGGAAAGUGGAAUUCCAUGUGUAGCGG